rnacentral:rRNA from 1 species
CAGUCGUGAGGAAGGCGGGUACGUUAAUAGCGUAUUCGUUUGACGUUAGCGACAGAAGAAAGCACCGGCUAACUCCGUGCCAGCAGCCGCGGUAAUACGGAGGGUGCGAGCGUUAAUCGGAAUUACUGGGCGUAAAGCGCAUGCAGGUGGUUUGUUAAGUCAGAUGUGAAAGACCCGGGGCGUCAACCUCGGAAUAGCAUUUGUAAACUAGGCAGACUAGAGUACUGUAGAGGGGGGUAGGAAUUUCAGGUGUAGCGGUGAAAUGCGUAGAGAUCUGAAGGAAUACCGGUGGCGAAGGCGGCCCCCUCGGACAGAUACUGACACUCAGAUGCGAAAGCGUGGGGAGCAAACAGGAUUAGAUACCCUGGUAG